rnacentral:rRNA from 1 species
UGAGGAAUAUUGCUCAAUGGGCGAAAGCCUGAAGCAGCAACGCCGCGUGCCCGAUGAAGGCCUUCGGGUCGUAAAGCGCUUUUGAGAGGGACGAGAUAGGACGGUACCUCUCGAAUAAGUCACGGCUAACUACGUGCCAGCAGCCGCGGUAAAACGUAGGUGGCGAGCGUUAUCCGGAUUCACUGGGCGUAAAGCGCCUGCAGGCGGUCUCGUAAGUGGGAUGUGAAAUCUCCUGGCUUAACUGGGAGGGGCCAUUCCAUACCUGCGAGGCUUGAGGGCAGAAGAGGGAAGCGGAAUUCCCGGUGUAGUGGUGAAGUGCGUAGAUAUCGGGAGGAACACCAGUGGCGAAGGCGGCCCCCUGGACCAAUACUGACACUGAGGUGCGAAAGCGUGGGUAGCAAACAGGAUUAGAUACCCUGGUAGUCCACGCCGUAAACGAUGUCAACUAGCGUUGGAUCCGCUUUAAGGGUUUAGUGGCGCAGCUAACGCGAUAAGUUGACCGCCUGGGGAGUACGGCCGCAAGGUUA